AAUAAUCAGUACAGCUCCAAGAACAGAGUUUAUAGCACUAAUCUGUACAAUAUUGAGAUCACUGGUAGCAUUCGAUUUAGAUGAGAUUUUGAAAAAUUGGGAUUGGGAUUCAGAUUGGUGUUAUCUUUGAGCUCUCUUUCAGAGUUUGGGGGCGUGUCAAUGCAAAACCUUGAGAGGAACCAGGCUCAAACUGGAUCCAUCCUCAUCUGAGGGACGUCGGAGAGUUUUUGAACAGUUCACCGAUGGAGGUUUGUGUCAAAGCACAGAAUCCGGACCUGCCUGAUCCAUCCAGACGCUCUACCCCUGGUCGGAGUCUCAUUGCUUUAUGGUGUUCACUGCUGCUGUGGAGAGAUCUGAGAGGACAGCCUGUGACCCAGGGGACUGCUAUGGACAGAACCACUUGGAGACUAUCACACCGUCUAUGAACUGCCAUUGCUUUUAUGCAGGAAGGAAUGAACUCAGAACCUACACUGACCUAUUAGUUCGUCAAGAGCUCUUGGUUGCUGUUGUAGAAAGGACAUUGUCAACAUUUACAUUAUUUACUGUCCAGUGUCACCCAAAUGAGGAUGAGGUUCUCUUCUGAGCCUGGUUCAUCUCAAGGUUUCUUCCUCAUAUCAUCUCAGGGAGUUUUUCCUCGCCACCGUCACUUCAGGCUUCCCAUUAGGGAUAAAUGUUAGGGUUAAAUAUUAACUUAACUUUAAACUUUUUCUACGUUUCUAUACUUCUGUAAAGCUGCUUUGAGACAAUGUCCAUUGUUAAAAGCGCCAUAGAAAAAAAGUUAAUUGAAAUGAAUCUGAGGGGGAAAAAAUUCUGAUGCAUUGAAGGUUCCUCAGAGCACGGUGAAGUCCAUGAUUCUUAAAUGGAAAAAGUUUGGAACAACCAGGACUCCCCCUGGAGAAGGAGAAGGUAAGAGAACCUGAUGGUCACUCUGGUUGUGCUCCAGAGAUCAUGAGGAGAUGAGAGAGACCUGUAGGUCAACCAUCACUGCAACACUCCACUAUUAAAGUAUCUUCUCAGUGAGACACAUGAAAGCCUGAUCUGAAUUUGUUUCCCGAAUUGUCUGUCACAAAUCGACAGUCUGAAUAGCUUCUGUAAGCUCUGUAUGUUAUAUUCCGAAUAAACAUGAGCAUUCCUGUUUAAACCCGGUGCAAAAAUCAGACCUUCAGCAUUCUGGGAUAUGAAAAGACCACCAGAAGAAUAUCUCUGCUUUUGGAAUGUGAAUUAUUUGACCCAAGCUCAAAGAGCUCAUCUAACUGCACAAGCACGACUUCUUCAUGUUACAAACAUCUUACUCAAGCUGUCCUUUGAAGACGGAUGAUUUGCUGGAGCAGUACACAAUCUGGCCAGAGGCCUGCUGGGAAUUGAAGGGUCAUAAAAGUUGCUACUAAACUCAGGAAGACUUUUCUACCUUUCUCUGACUCUCUCAGAGAAACUUAUUCUCAGACAUCAAAUUUUUUUUCUAUUCUUGUUUCGUUGGUAAUUUAUUCAGCCUCACGUGAAGGAACACUUGACAGAAGCCAGGACGGAUUUUGCAGUAAACAUUUUGGACAAGCUGAACGUCUCCUCAUUAAUCUUACGCUUAGGAUUCAAAUUUCCACUUACGUUUUAAACAAUAAAUUAAUAUUCGGGGAAAAACAGGAAAAAUAACUAGAACAGAAAAGACACUCAGAUAAAACAGCGACAACGACAAAAAUUAAAUUUAUUGGUUUAUAUAUUUAUUUAUUGGAUUAUUUUUGUAAGAAGAAAAUAUUAUUAACAAAAUCAGGACUCCUGAUUUUUGGUGAUC